UGAAACUACUGCAAGAGAAAGUAGGAGAGACAUUAGAACUUACAGGUACAGGCAGGAACUUCCUGAAUAGAGUCCCAGGGCACAACAGAUAGGAGAGAGACUAGACAAAUGGAACUACAUUAAGGUAAAAAGUGUCUGCACAGCUAAGGAAAUAGCUACUAAACUAGAAAGACAACCAACUAAAUGGGAAAAGAUCUUUACCAGCACAGCAACAAACAAAGGCCUAAU